UACGAAGGGGGCUAGCGUUGUUCGGAAUUACUGGGCGUAAAGCGCACGUAGGCGGACUCUUAAGUCAGGGGUGAAAUCCCGGGGCUCAACCUCGGAAUUGCCUUUGAUACUGUGAGUCUUGAGACCGGAAGAGGUGAGUGGAAUUCCUAGUGUAGAGGUGAAAUUCGUAGAUAUUAGGAAGAACACCGGUGGCGAAGGCGGCUCACUGGUCCGGUUCUGACGCUGAGGUGCGAAAGCGUGGGGAGCAAACCGG
rnacentral:rRNA from 1 species